rnacentral:rRNA from 1 species
GGGGGGGGGGGGGGGGGGGGGGAGGGGGGGGGGGGGGGGGGGGGGAAGGGAGGUGGCUGGUGGGUUCAGGGGGGGACGGGUGGGUAAUGCCUAGGAGUCUGCCUGGUGGUGGGGGAUAACGUCCGGAAACGGGCGCUAAUACCGCAUACGUCCUGAGGGAGGAAGUGGGGGAUCUUCGGACCUCACGCUAUCAGAUGAGCCUAGGUCGGAUUAGCUAGUUGGUGGGGUAAAGGCCUACCAAGGCGACGAUCCGUAACUGGUCUUAGAGGAUGAUCAGUCACACUGGAACCGAGACACGGUCCAGAAUCCUACGGGAGGCAGCAGUGGGGAAUAUUGGACAAUGGGCGAAAGCCUGAUCCAGCCAUGCCGCGUGUGUGAAGAAGGUCUUCGGAUUGUAAAGCACUUUAAGUUGGGAGGAAGGGCAGUAAGUUAAUACCUUGCUGUUUUGACGUUACCAACAGAAUAAGCACCGGCUAACUUCGUG